rnacentral:tRNA from 1 species
UGUCCCAUGGCUUAGUUGGUUACGGCGUCCGACUGUUACGGCAAGAAAGCUCGCAAGGCAUCGGAAGAUCGAGAGUUCGAGUCUCUCUGGGACAG